AUUGAACGCUGGCGGCAGGCCUACCACAUGCAAGUCGAGCGAGCGGCGGACGGGUGAGUAAUGUAUGGGAAACUGCCUGAUGGAGGGGGAUAACUACUGGAAACGGUAGCUAAUACAGCAUACCAUCAGAUGUGCCCAGAUGGGAUUAGCUAGUAGGUGGGGUAACGGCUCACCUAGGCGACGAUCCCUCGCUGGUAUGAGAGGAUGACCAGCCACACUGGAACUGAGACACUGUCCCGACUCCUACGGAAGGCAGCAGUGGGGAAUAUUGCACAAUGGGCGCAAGCCUGAUGCAGCCAUGCCGCGGGUGUGAAGAAGGCCUUCGGGUUGUAAAGCACUUUCAGCGGGGAGGCGUUACCCGCAGAAGAAGCACCGGCUAACUCCGUGCCAGCAGCCGCGGUAAUUC
rnacentral:rRNA from 1 species